UGGGGAAUUUUGGACAAUGGGGGCAACCCUGAUCCAGCCAUGCCGCGUGUGUGAAGAAGGCCUUCGGGUUGUAAAGCACUUUCGGCCGGAACGAAAUCGCGCGGGUGAAUAUCCCGCGUGGAUGACGGUACCCCCCGAAUAAGCCCCGGCUAACUCCGUGCCAGCAGCCGCGGUAAGACGGAGGGGGCAAGCGUUGUCAGGAAUCACUGGGCGUAAAGCGCGCGUAGGUGGCACAGUGCGUCGGUGCUGAAAGCGCCGGGCUUAACCCGGCGAGGUGCAGCGAUACGACUGAGCUCGAGGCCAGCAGAGGGUGGCGGAAUUCCGGGUGUAGUGGUGAAAUGCGUAGAGAUCCGGAGGAACGCCGGUGGUGAAGACGGCCACCUGGGCUGGACCUGACACUGAGGUGCGACAGCGUGGGGAGCGAA
rnacentral:rRNA from 1 species